CCACACAUGCAUCCGGCCUCUAGGAGGCAUCCACACGAGCCCACGAAUCACGAUCAGAAGUUCUGGUUCAGAAAAUCAGCACAGUAUGCUAGUACUGUGCUGAUCCUUCUUCGAUGGUCGAUUAGAUGUCUCAUUCUUCUUGAUUUAAACUCUUUCAAAGAUGAGAAGUAGGAGAAAAAGUUUUAGAUAUAAGACACUCUCAGAAAACUCAUAGA
rnacentral:lncRNA from 1 species